rnacentral:lncRNA from 1 species
CAGAAACCCAUUUUGCAGAUGAGGAGAUUGAAGUAUACAAAGCUUAUAUUAUUUGCUCAAGGCCACAAAGUUUGUGAGUGGAACUAGAAUUAGAUGCCUGGCAGCCUGGCCCCUGAGCCUGCCCUCUUAACCAUGACUGUAGCUUGCAUCUCUCAAUAUUUGCUAUUAAGAGUUUUAAGUUCUUGACAAAAAGGAGCCUGAAGAGUAUAAUUAAUUGUCUGAAGAGUGGGAAAUCAAACCAAAGGGAGAUGUUUACUGAAGCUGCAUAUAAUGGAGCUUUUUUUUUCCUAAAGAAGAAAGGCAUGCAUUGGACACUUCCUUUCCAGAAAGCAGCAAGCAAGGCCAAUCUUUGGAAAGUAUGCAUUUAGGACAGUACAGCUAUUAUCACAUCCCUGAUGCUGAUGUGGUGACUAAGAUGGAGAACUUGGGUGUUCAUCACAUGUCUCUUCAAUCAUCAAGCAGCCCAGCUUCCUCAAACAGCUUUGGAAAUGCUCUUCAUUUCAGAAAUAAAACAAUGGAAAAUGAGCCCUGCCUGGAUAGGAAAAGUCCAUACAUUGCAUUUUCAUUGACCUCCUGGGCUCACUUGUUGUAGGGCUUUGUAAUACAUAGAAGAGGUUUUUGAGCUACUAAUACCUAAGACGGCUUUUGUUAACCAGCUGUUAAUUUGAGAGUAACUAAGGAAAGCAGAGAUCUCAUUCCACUUUACCGUUUUCAGUGCAAUGCAUCCUGGCAAUACAAGUUAAGAAACAAGAAGAUACUUUUGCAUAGCCAUUCAACUUCUAGAAGUUUCUAGAAGGAAACUGUCUUAGGG